AAAUCAUAUUGAGAUCACCAGUUCACGUUCGAUCAAAGAAGUUAAGCAGUGUCGUGCCCAGUCAGUAUUUAGAUGGGAGACCACUUGGAAACAUAGCGUACUGUAA